GCAGGGGUGGCAGAGUCCGGUCAAAUGCGCUAGAUUGAGGGUCUAGUCCCUUAGUGGGUGCGAGGGUUCGAAUCCCUUCCCCUGCA
rnacentral:tRNA from 1 species